rnacentral:sRNA from 1 species
GUGACUUGGAGAAUGAAGCUUUUUAUUUAGCCACUGUAGAGGCAGAAGCAGAGCAGGCUUCCCCACAUUCCCCUGCCAAUGUGCCUCAGUCCUGACCCCGAGGGACACUGCGGAGUACUGAGAUUUAUCCCAUUUACACCUAGGUGCCU